AACGAACGCUGGCGGCAUGCCUAACACAUGCAAGUCGAACGAGACCUUCGGGUCUAGUGGCGCACGGGUGCGUCACGCGUGGGAACCUGCCCUUAGGUUCGGAAUAACUCCCCGAAAGGGGUGCUAAUACCGGAUAAUGUCUUCGGACCAAAGAUUUAUCGCCUUUGGAUGGGCCCGCGUUGGAUUAGCUAGUUGGUAGGGUAAAAGCCUACCAAGGCGACGAUCCAUAGCUGGUCUGAGAGGAUGAUCAGCCACACUGGGACUGAGACACGGCCCAGACUCCUACGCGAGGCAGCAGUGGGGAAUAUUGGACAAUGGGCGAAAGCCUGAUCCAGCAAUGCCGCGUGAGUGAUGAAGGCCUUAGGGUUGUAAAGCUCUUUUACCCGGGAUGAUAAUGACAGUACCGGGAGAAUAAGCUCCGGCUAACUCCGUG
rnacentral:rRNA from 1 species